rnacentral:rRNA from 1 species
GACGAACGCUGGCGGCGUGCUUAACACAUGCAAGUCGAACGAUGAAGCUAGAGCUUGCUCUGGUGAAUUAGUGGCGAACGGGUGAGUAACACGUGAGUAACCUGCCCCGAACUCUGGGAUAACUGCUGGAAACGGUAGCUAAUACUGGAUACGACCUACGAAGGCAUCUUCUGUAGGUGGAAAGAAUUUCGGUUCGGGAUGGACUCGUGGCCUAUCAGCUUGUUGGUGAGGUAAUGGCUCACCAAGGCGACGACGGGUAGCCGGCCUGAGAGGGUGACCGGCCACACUGGGACUGAGACACGGCCCAGACUCCUACGGGAGGCAGCAGUGGGGAAUAUUGCACAAUGGGCGCAAGCCUGAUGCAGCAACGCCGCGUGAGGGAUGACGGCCUUCGUGUUGUAAACCUCUUUUAGCAGGGAAGAAGCGAAAGUGACGGUACCUGCAGAAAAAGCACCGGCUAACUACGUGCCAGCCGCCGCGGUAA